UUGAACAGCAAAAAGCAGUACGUUUCUCCGCCUGCACUCUGUCACUAAUGGCGGUCCCCCCCACUAAUAUUCCUCCACGCAAGCCGAAGAGACCCUGAUGACGCAAUCAGCGAUCCUAUUGGUAUGCAAAUGGGUGGAACUACGUCACCCCCCACUUCGCCGUAGUUGUUUUUCCCCAUCCCCAACCUUACAAUUAUAAAUAUCCAAAGGCCCGCACUUGGAAAACUGGACCGUUGGAUAGUGGAGCUGAACAGAGUGAAAAAUCAUAGACUUGUAGAACUCGCAGCAUUUCUUCACGAAUUCAAAUCUGUCUUAGGGUCUGUUUUGGUGCUCACUUCAGGUAUUUUUGGGCUUCUGACUUCUUUUUUGGUUGGAACGAUGUCAAUUUCCGUAAAUUCAUCGGACCGGGUUUGUGAAAAUGGAAUCCAGCAUGUUGAACUACUUCCUGCAACCAAUGAUGUCCAUGGAGGAGUUAUUGUAGACAUGAAGGAUGCUAUGGACGCUCAGCACUUUCUUACUCUGCUUAGGGCUUCAAUCUCACAAUGGAGGAGAGAGGGACAUAUUUAUGAUGGGCAUCCAAUUUUAUAACAAGUUUACAAAUUUCAGUUUAUCUUGAGAAAGAAAAGGAAGAUUUUCUCAAUCUGGUAACAUUGGCCUUGAAACUGUUACUCAGCUCUGUCACACCCUUGGCCAAACCUUUGAUGGAGUCUUUAAUCAAUAUUUUAAGGAUAUUAAAGGAAAGGUUGUAGAGUAAAAUUCUUCUCCUCUCAUUCUGCAUCAUCAUGAAGAGCAUAAAGAAAAGUAUGAAAAAAAUUAGAGGUUGUGGAUUGCAAUAGUCAAGGAUAACAUGAAACUUUUGGAACAAGAAUUAUAUGAUGUAGACAUCAAGCAAGGCAAGGGAGACUAUGAAGCUCACAAAACAUGGAAAACACUAAGUUGCUAUUUCCGGCGCUAGAUGAAAAAAACUGGUCGAAGCUCCAAAGUUGCAAAUGAGUACUGUGAUAUUACAAAAUUUGAGAUUGAUUUUCUUAAAAUCAGGUGAGAGUAAUGGAGAACGAUGAAAAUCAUAAUUUCAGGGAUUUUUAUUGGGGAAUUUUGAAUGCAGAUUUUACUUUUAGUUGGUUUUGGAUUAGCUCUAGAUAUUAGAUUUUGCGGAUCGACUUUAAAAAAAAAA